AACGAACGCUGGCGGCAUGCCUAACACAUGCAAGUCGAACGAGACCUUCGGGUCUAGUGGCGCACGGGUGCGUAACGCGUGGGAACCUGCCCUUAGGUUCGGAAUAACUCCCCGAGAGGGGUGCUAAUACCGGAUAAUGUCUUCGGACCAAAGAUUUAUCGCCUUUGGAUGGGCCCGCGUUGGAUUAGCUAGUUGGUAGGGUAAAAGCCUACCAAGGCGACGAUCCAUAGCUGGUCUGAGAGGAUGAUCAGCCACACUGGGACUGAGACACGGCCCAGACUCCUACGGGAGGCAGCAGUGGGGAAUAUUGGACACUGGGCGCAAGCCUGAUCCAGCAAUGCCGCGUGAGUGAUGAAGGCCUUAGGGUUGUAAAGCUCUUUUACCCGGGAUGAUAAUGACAGUACCGGGAGAAUAAGCUCCGGCUAACUCCGUG
rnacentral:rRNA from 1 species